GACGAACGCUGGCGGCGUGCCUAAUACAUGCAAGUAGAACGCACAGUUUAUACCGUAGCUUGCUACACCAUAGACUGUGAGUUGCGAACGGGUGAGUAACGCGUAGGUAACCUGCCUGGUAGCGGGAGAUAACUAUUGGAAACGAUAGCUAAUACCGCAUAAUAUUAAUUAUUGCAUGAUAAUUGAUUGAAAGGUGCAAAUGCAUCACUACCAGAUGGACCUGCGUUGUAUUAGCUAGUAGGUGAGGUAACGGCUCACCUAGGCGACGAUACAUAGCCGACCUGAGAGGGUGAUCGGCCACACUGGGACUGAGACACGGCCCAGACUCCUACGGGAGGCAGCAGUAGGGAAUCUUCGGCAAUGGACGAAAGUCUGACCGAGCAACGCCGCGUGAGUGAAGAAGGUUUUCGGAUCGUAAAGCUCUGUUGUAAGAGAAGAACGGGUGUGAGAGUGGAAAGUUCACACUGUGACGGUAUCUUACCAGAAAGGGACGGCUAACUACGUGCCAGCAGCCGCGGUAAUACGUAGGUCCCGAGCGUUGUCCGGAUUUAUUGGGCGUAAAGCGAGCGCAGGCGGUUAGAUAAGUCUGAAGUUAAAGGCUGUGGCUUAACCAUAGUACGCUUUGGAAACUGUUUAACUUGAGUGCAGAAGGGGGAGAGUGGAAUUCCAUGUGUAGCGGUGAAAUGCGUAGAUAUAUGGAGGAACACCGGGUGGCGAAGCGGCU
rnacentral:rRNA from 1 species